UACGGAGGGUGCAGGCGUUAUCCGGAUUCACUGGGUUUAAAGGGUGCGUAGGUGGGUUAGUAAGUCAGUGGUGAAAUCUCCGAGCUUAACUUGGAAACUGCCAUUGAUACUAUUAAUCUUGAAUAUUGUGGAGGUCAGCGGAAUAUGUCAUGUAGCGGUGAAAUGCUUAGAUAUGACAUAGAACACCAAUUGCGAAGGCAGCUGGCUACGCAUAUAUUGACACUGAGGCACGAAAGCGUGGGGAUCAAACAGG
rnacentral:rRNA from 1 species